GGGUUGUGAGGUUAAGCGACUAAGCGUACACGGUGGAUGCCCUGGCAGUCAGAGGCGAUGAAGGACGUGCUAAUCUGCGAAAAGCGUCGGUAAGGUGAUAUGAACCGUUAUAACCGGCGAUGUCCGAAUGGGGAAACCCAGUGUGAUUCGUCACACUAUCGUUAACUGAAUACAUAGGUUAACGAGGCGAACCGGGGGAACUGAAACAUCUAAGUACCCCGAGGAAAAGAAAUCAACCGAGAUUCCCCCAGUAGCGGCGAGCGAACGGGGAGCAGCCCAGAGUCUGAAUCAGCUUGUGUGUUAGUGGAACGGUCUGGAAAGUCCGACGGUACAGGGUGAUAGUCCCGUACACCAAAAUGCACAGGUUGUGAACUCGAAGAGUAGGGCGGGACACGUGGUAUCCUGUCUGAAUAUGGGGGGACCAUCCUCCAAGGCUAAAUACUCCUGACUGACCGAUAGUGAACCAGUACCGUGAGGGAAAGGCGAAAAGAACCCCGGCGAGGGGAGUGAAAAAGAACCUGAAACCGUGUACGUACAAGCAGUGGGAGCACCUUCGGGUGUGACUGCGUACCUUUGUAUAAUGGGUCAGCGACUUAUAUUCUGUAGCAAGGUUAACCGUAUAGGGGAGCCGCAGGGAAACCGAGUCUUAACUGGGCGUUAAGUUGCAGGGUAUAGACCCGAAACCCGGUGAUCUAGCCAUGGGCAGGUUGAAGGUUGGGUAACACUAACUGGAGGACCGAACCGACUAAUGUUGAAAAAUUAGCGGAUGACUUGUGGCUGGGGGUGAAAGGCCAAUCAAACCGGGAGAUAGCUGGUUCUCCCCGAAAGCUAUUUAGGUAGCGCCUCGUGAACUCAUCUUCGGGGGUAGAGCACUGUUUCGGCUAGGGGGUCAUCCCGACUUACCAACCCGAUGCAAACUACGAAUACCGAAGAAUGUUAUCACGGGAGACACACGGCGGGUGCUAACGUCCGUCGUGAAGAGGGAAACAACCCAGACCGCCAGCUAAGGUCCCAAAGUCAUGGUUAAGUGGGAAACGAUGUGGGAAGGCACAGACAGCCAGGAUGUUGGCUUAGAAGCAGCCAUCAUUUAAAGAAAGCGUAAUAGCUCACUGGUCGAGUCGGCCUGCGCGGAAGAUGUAACGGGGCUAAACCAUGCACCGAAGCUGCGGCAGCGACACUAUGUGUUGUUGGGUAGGGGAGCGUUCUGUAAGCCUGCGAAGGUGACCUGUGAGGGUUGCUGGAGGUAUCAGAAGUGCGAAUGCUGACAUAAGUAACGAUAAAGCGGGUGAAAAGCCCGCUCGCCGGAAGACCAAGGGUUCCUGUCCAACGUUAAUCGGGGCAGGGUGAGUCGACCCCUAAGGCGAGGCCGAAAGGCGUAGUCGAUGGGAAACAGGUUAAUAUUCCUGUACUUGGUGUUACUGCGAAGGGGGGACGGAGAAGGCUAUGUUAGCCGGGCGACGGUUGUCCCGGUUUAAGCAUGUAGGCUGAUUAUCCAGGCAAAUCCGGAUAAUCAAGGCUGAGGUGUGAUGACGAGGCACUACGGUGCUGAAGUAACAAAUGCCCUGCUUCCAGGAAAAGCCUCUAAGCAUCAGGUAACAUUAAAUCGUACCCCAAACCGACACAGGUGGUCAGGUAGAGAAUACCAAGGCGCUUGAGAGAACUCGGGUGAAGGAACUAGGCAAAAUGGUGCCGUAACUUCGGGAGAAGGCACGCUGGUGUGUAGGUGAAGUCCCUGCGGAUGGAGCUGAGACCAGUCGAAGAUACCAGCUGGCUGCAACUGUUUAUUAAAAACACAGCACUGUGCAAACACGAAAGUGGACGUAUACGGUGUGACGCCUGCCCGGUGCCGGAAGGUUAAUUGAUGGGGUUAUCCGUAAGGAGAAGCUCUUGAUCGAAGCCCCGGUAAACGGCGGCCGUAACUAUAACGGUCCUAAGGUAGCGAAAUUCCUUGUCGGGUAAGUUCCGACCUGCACGAAUGGCGUAAUGAUGGCAGGCUGUCUCCACCCGAGACUCAGUGAAAUUGAACUCGCUGUGAAGAUGCAGUGUACCCGCGGCAAGACGGAAAGACCCCGUGAACCUUUACUAUAGCUUGACACUGAACAUUGAGCCUUGAUGUGUAGGAUAGGUGGGAGGCUUUGAAGCGUGGACGCCAGUCUGCGUGGAGCCAACCUUGAAAUACCACCCUUUAAUGUUUGAUGUUCUAACGUUGGCCCCUGACCGGGGUUGCGGACAGUGUCUGGUGGGUAGUUUGACUGGGGCGGUCUCCUCCCAAAGCGUAACGGAGGAGCACGAAGGUUAGCUAAUCCUGGUCGGACAUCAGGAGGUUAGUGCAAUGGCAUAAGCUAGCUUGACUGCGAGCGUGACGGCGCGAGCAGGUGCGAAAGCAGGUCAUAGUGAUCCGGUGGUUCUGAAUGGAAGGGCCAUCGCUCAACGGAUAAAAGGUACUCCGGGGAUAACAGGCUGAUACCGCCCAAGAGUUCAUAUCGACGGCGGUGUUUGGCACCUCGAUGUCGGCUCAUCACAUCCUGGGGCUGAAGUAGGUCCCAAGGGUAUGGCUGUUCGCCAUUUAAAGUGGUACGCGAGCUGGGUUUAGAACGUCGUGAGACAGUUCGGUCCCUAUCUGCCGUGGACGCUGGAGAAUUGAGGGGGGCUGCUCCUAGUACGAGAGGACCGGAGUGGACGCAUCACUGGUGUUCGGGUUGUCAUGCCAAUGGCACUGCCCGGUAGCUAAAUGCGGAAGAGAUAAGUGCUGAAAGCAUCUAAGCACGAAACUUGCCCCGAGAUGAGUUCUCCCUGAGACUUUAAGUCUCCUGAAGGAACGUUAAAGACGAUGACGUUGAUAGGCCGGGUGUGUAAGCGCAGCGAUGCGUUGAGCUAACCGGUACUAAUGAACCGUGAGGCUUAACCUUACAACGCCGAAG
rnacentral:rRNA from 1 species